rnacentral:ncRNA from 1 species
AUGUAAGUUUUUGCGGGGGUAUUUAUUUAUUUUAAUAAUAGGUGAAUUAUAAUAUAUUCUCAGUAAGAAGGUUUAUAUAUUAAAGAAAUUUAGAUAUAGUUAUACUGAAAUAGUGUUGGCUAAAUUUGUGCCAGCAGCCGCGGUUACACGAAUAAUACAAGUGAACUAUUUUUGGGAACAGUUAAGUUAUAUUUUUUGGAAAUUAAAAUGAUUUUAUUAGGUGAAAUUUUUAAAUUUAUUUAUUUUUGAUUUUUAUUUGUUGAAGCUGAAAAAUUUUAGGUUUAAACUAGGAUUAGAUACCCUAUUAUAUAAAAUGUAAUUUUGUACCUAGGUAGUAAUAGUUAUGUUCUUGAAACUUAAAAAAUUUGGCGGUAUUUUAGUCUUUUCAGAGGAACCUGUCCUGUAAUCGAUAAUCCACGUUGGACCUUACUUAAGUUUGUUUAGUUUAUAUACCGUCGUUAUCAGAAUAUUUUAUAAGAAAAAUAAUUUUCAAGUUUUUGAAAAAAUUUAUAUCAGAUCAAGGUGUAGCUUAUAUUUAAGUAGAGAUGGGUUACAAUAAAUUUAUUUAUGCGGAUUUAAUAAUGAAAAUUUUAAUGAAGGUGGAUUUGACAGUAAAUUUGUAAAGAUAAAACAAAUUGAUUUUAGCUCUAAAAUAUGCACACAUCGCCCGUCACUCUUGUUAUUAAGGUAAGAUAAGUCGUAACACAGUAGAUGUACUGGAAAGUGUAUCUAGAAUG